GAUGAACGCUGGCGGCGUGCCUAAUACAUGCAAGUCGAGCGAACGGACGAGAAGCUUGCUUCUCUGAUGUUAGCGGCGGACGGGUGAGUAACACGUGGAUAACCUACCUAUAAGACUGGGAUAACUUCGGGAAACCGGAGCUAAUACCGGAUAAUAUUUUGAACCGCAUGGUUCAAAAGUAAAAGACGGUCUUGCUGUCACUUAUAGAUGGAUCCGCGCUGCAUUAGCUAGUUGGUAAGGUAACGGCUUACCAAGGCAACGAUGCAUAGCCGACCUGAGAGGGUGAUCGGCCACACUGGAACUGAGACACGGUCCAGACUCCUACGGGAGGCAGCAGUAGGGAAUCUUCCGCAAUGGGCGAAAGCCUGACGGAGCAACGCCGCGUGAGUGAUGAAGGUCUUCGAAUCGUAAAACUCUGUUAUUAGGGAAGAACAUAUGUGUAAGUAACUGUGCACAUCUUGACGGUACCUAAUCAGAAAGCCACGGCUAACUACGUG
rnacentral:rRNA from 1 species